rnacentral:tRNA from 1 species
GCCUGGGUGGCUCAGUGGUUGGGUGCCUGACUUCGGCUCAGGGCGUGAUCCCAGAUUCUUGGGUUCGAGUCCUGCAUUAGGCU